rnacentral:rRNA from 1 species
CCUACGGGAGGCAGCAGUAGGGAAUAUUGCUCAAUGGGGGAAACCCUGAAGCAGCAACGCCGCGUGGAGGAUGAAGGUUUUCGGAUUGUAAAGUCCUGUUGUUAGAGAAGAUAAUGACGGUAUCUAACGAAUAAGCACCGGCGAAUUCCGUGCCAGCAGCCGCGGGAAUACGGAGGGUGCAAGCGUUACUCGGAAUCACUGGGCGUAAAGAGCGCGUAGGCGGGAUAGCAAGUCAGAUGUGAAAUCCUUUGGCUUAACCAUAGAACUGCAGUUGAAACUGUUAUUCUAGAGUAUGGGAGAGGUAGGUGGAAUUCUUGGUGUAGGGGUAGAAUCCGUAGAGAUCAAGAGGAAUACUCAUUGCGAAGGCGACCUGCUAGAACAUAACUGACGCUGAUGCGCGAAAGCGUGGGGAGCAAACAGGAUUAGAUACCCGAGUAGUC